CGGUGUGGUAACGCUAGCUACCUGGCGCUACAAGCUAGCUAGCUGGAUGCUAACGUCUUAAUGAAUUCACCCAGGCAACAGAUGUUGCCCGCCCCCUCCUCCCGUCGCCGGGCACCGGGACGUGCUCGUGGAGAACCUGUAGAUGUUGCCGAGGGUUCAGCCACACACAACUCUGGAAUAUGUUGGAUGAAGAAACAUUUCUUCAUCUUUUGAGGAUGUCAUCGCUGGACAUCCAUGAGGAUACUGAUGAAGAUGACUUCAAUCACAUUCAAAACUCUGUGUAAGCUGCAAGUAUACAGUAUACAACCCCCACCAUCACAGUAACGACUCUACCAUCCUGAAGGCGUUGAAGGAAAGAGAUGUUAAUAUGCUUAAUAUAAGAAGCAGAAUCCCUACAAAGCGGCCAGACCAAAUUCCUUCUAUGUGAAAACUUGUCAAUAAACUUCAUCAUGAUUGUCUGAUAUUUUUGUCAUUCUAAACUGCGUUGACUGGGCAGACGACAAGAUGUGGUUGCAACCAACUGGUCUGACGCCUGGUCUUAAGCUAAGUCGGUCCGAACUUGACGUUCUAAGUUCAGACGCAGAGUCACGUCUGUUGCAAAGAGUCAAAUUCUCAGCCAGUAAAAGCAGGUUAAGUCGUGAACUCAAUGGCGACUCAAUGUGAUGAGUCUUUCUCUCUCUGGGCCUCACACGGAGCGACGCAAGGCAUCUCUCUCUCUCUCGUUGUUUGUCCCUUCGUUGCCCCUAGUUACUGGAAAAACUAUGUUUUAUUUUAAUAAUUAAAAAGCUUGCAGGCUAAGAAGCA